rnacentral:rRNA from 1 species
GGGCCCGCACAAGCAGUGGAUUAUGUGGUUUAAUUCGACGCAACGCGAAGAACCUUACCAGGGCUUGACAUCCCGAUGACCGUUCUAGAGAUAGAGCUUUCACUUCGGUGACAUCGGUGACAGGUGGUGCAUGGUUGUCGUCAGCUCGUGUCGUGAGAUGUUGGGUUAAGUCCCGCAACGAGCGCAACCCCUAUUGUUAGUUGCUACGCAAGAGCACUCUAGCGAGACUGCCGUUGACAAAACGGAGGAAGGUGGGGACGACGUCAAAUCAUCAUGCCCCUUAUGUCCUGGGCUACACACGUAAUACAAUGGUCGUUAACAAAGGGAAGCAAAAUCGCGAGAUGGAGCAAAUCCCCAAAAGCGAUCUCAGUUCGGAUUGCAGGCUGCAACUCGCCUGUAUGAAGUCGGAAUUGCUAGUAAUCGUGGAUCAGCAUGCCACGGUGAAUACGUUCCCGGGCCUU